GGGGGGCAGGCCCAGCCGCCCCUCCCAGGCCCCAGAUGGUGCAGUGCCGUGUACCCUGCUGACCCAGGGAGGCCCCUCCUGGCCAAAGGGCCACGCUGUGGGGGUCUUCCAUCUUGGGAGUGAGAAGGCUGAUACCAUAAAAGCAAGGUGGGGCAGAAGGCAGCUGUGGGGCAGGAUGGAGCAGGACCCGGGGAGGAGAGGGCACCGCCCAUCCUGUGCACCUGCUGCCCUGCCUGCAGCGAGGCCUGCAGCCGGGAGGGGGGCGGAGUUCUCCGCAGCACGCCCCGCCCCGCCUCCGUGCAUAGCGCUCCCCAGAGAGAACCGCCUCUCAGAGCAAUAAACAACCUCCAAAGCCAACGGCCCUUGUUUCUUGUCAGAGGGAGGCGAGGGAGGGGGGACAACGUCGCUGUUCUUCACACACACCCUGAAGAAUUUGAGAAGAAAAUGCUGAAAGAUCUCGUGAAAAUUAACAACGGAAACCACGACCAUGACGGCAGCGGGAACAGCCGGCAGGGGGAGCUCUCACCCCUACUACGCGCCAGUCACCCCAAACAGGGAGAGCCGCCUGCAUCUCUAACAGGUGUUUUCUCUAAGUUACUACCCCAGCAGGUGGAAGGUUUUCCCGUCGCCUGGCAACAGCUCAGCCAGUAAGAGACCGUCACAACACGGCCAACGAAAAGCCGCUCUUUUGGGCCGCCCAGCCUCCUCCAAUGGGUGCUGCGUGUAGCACCCCGCCCAGCUCCCCUUUUCUGCGACCAGUAAAGGUCCCUCUCCUUUGCUUCUGGACUCGAGGGUGGUUUUGCCGUGUUUUGUGUGUCUCAAAGUACAAUUCUUUAUUCCCAAAUAAACCCAUUUCCGCUAAAAUAA